AUUAAUUGUGUUGAAUUAGAUUAUUGUAAUUAUUUUUAGGGCGUUACAUAUUGCAACCAAACCGGGUGCAAUCAUCUGUCCCUCCUAGAAUUUUCUUGUGUUCGAUGGAUUAAAUUUUGCAAUCAAACGAUUCUCUCUCAACCGAAGACAAAUGCAUAUAUGUACACACUCGUUGUUCUGUUUCACUUCCCAUCUUGGUUUAGCUUCGUUGUUUCUAGGUACACAAAUUACAGCCCAAACUCCACAACCUGCGGACGAGAACUUUGAGAUAUAGGAGAUAAUGAGGUCAACAGUAUAGGCAAAUAUACGUUGGCCAAUUCCAUUUGAUGAGAACUCUCUUCUACUAUCUUCCUUAGUUGCCUGGGAAAAUAUGAGGACACAAUAAAGGAUUGCACGAAAGCAUUGGAACUAAAUCCUAAUUAUCUGAAAGAUCUGCUUAGAAGAUGAGAGGCUCGUGAGAAGCUUGAACACUUUGAAGAGGCUAUUGUUGAUCUGAAUAAAGGCUUGGAAUUGGAUCACACGUUGGUGGUAGAGAGAUGAUAUAAAGCAAUCCUUACAAUUGGUUAGUCUAGAGUUCUAUUUUAAGACAACAAGGGUCCAAUUUGUAUGUUGGUUCACAAUUUCGUGCAAGAUGUGUUCAUGAUUGACACGAUAGAAAAGAAGAAAUAUUGUGUAUUUUGUGUUGAGAUUUUCUUGGAAAAAA